rnacentral:rRNA from 1 species
UACGUAGGCGGAAAAUUAAGUCAGUAGUGAAAUCCUGCAGCUUAACUGUAGAACUGUUAUUGAUACUGGUUUUCUUGAAUAUAGUUGAGGUAGGCGGAAUGUGUAACGUAGCGGUGAAAUGCUUAGAUAUUACACAGAACACCGAUUGCGAAGGCAGCUUACUAAGCUAUGAUUGACGCUGAGGUACGAAAGCGUGGGGAGCGAACAGGAUUAGAUACCCUGGUAGUCC